rnacentral:snRNA from 1 species
AUCGCUUCUCGGCCUUUUGGCUAAGAUCAAGUGUAGUAUCUGUUCUUAUCAGUUUAAUAAUGAGCUCUCCAAUACUGUUAAUAUUCUUUUUUGCAUACUGAGUUAACAAAAACAUUGAUAUAAUAUUU